GGCCGCAGUACUUUGACUGUGCUAAGGUAGCAUAAUAAAUUGACUUUUAAUUGGGGUCUAGAAUGAAAGGAAUCCUGGAUAAUUACUGUCUUGUUUUAACUUAUAAUAAUUUACUUAAAAGGUGAAAAUUCCUUUAAAAUAAUAUAAUAGACGAGAAGACCCUAGGAGUUUAAAAAUUUUGUUGGGGCGACAUUAUAGCAAGGCAAAUAUUUGUUAAACCUAUAAUUUUAAAUAAAAAUAUGUAACGAAAAGUAUUAAUUAAAAAUAAACUACCCUAGGGAUAACAGCAUAAUUUUAAUUUAGGUUUGUGACCUCGAUGUUGGACUAGGGACAUUUAAAAUUAACAGUGUUAAAUGAUAGUUCUGUUCGAACAUUUUACCCUACGUGAU
rnacentral:rRNA from 1 species